CGUCUCUAUGUUCUCAGGGCUGUGGAACAUCCAUGUAGCGAAAGUAAAGAGAGUGGUGGAGAGAGAAAGACAGGGAGAUGGCGUUUUAUGAGGGUCCAAGGCCGCUGAUGGCCUAAAAGGCUAGCCACACUAGAGGACGUCAAAGAGGUCCAUUACAGAAAGGUCUCACAGGCGAAUGACUGCAAGGUGAAAAAAGGAGCUGAUAUCCUGUGAGCUACACUGCAAAACAGAGCCUAUUACAGAACUCACAUGACUUGAAGAGUCUAGGCUGCUGCAUCCCUGAAACAGCCUUGUUCAGCAGACAAGAGUGUGUGUGUGAGAGAGAGCGAGAGAGAGAGAGAGAAAGAGAGCGUGCGAGAGAGAGAGUGAACAAGGAUGGAUCCAGACGCCCACUUCGCUGCAAUGGGCCAGGAAACAGCUAUUACGUAACAGGUGGGCAACUUCCCCCACACAGGCAGUGGGACUGCACAGUGGAACCUCUAUCUGUUUUUUUUUUCUUUCUUAUUUUUUAUGUUUGUCCUUCUCUUUUUUCUUUCUUUACUUCUUUCUUUCAUUUUAUUUUCUCUCUAUAUGUGCCAAAAACAGUUUUUUGAAACAAUUAAAUAAAAGCUUCUGGUAAAUUACA
rnacentral:lncRNA from 1 species